rnacentral:rRNA from 1 species
GACGAACGCUGGCGGCGUGCUUAACACAUGCAAGUCGAACGAAGAGCGAUGGAAGCUUGCUUCUAUCAAUCUUAGUGGCGAACGGGUGAGUAACGCGUAAUCAACCUGCCCUUCAGAGGGGGACAACAGUUGGAAACGACUGCUAAUACCGCAUACGAUCUGACCUCGGCAUCGAGGAUAGAUGAAAGGUGGCCUCUACAUGUAAGCUAUCACUGAAGGAGGGGAUUGCGUCUGAUUAGCUAGUUGGAGGGGUAACGGCCCACCAAGGCGAUGAUCAGUAGCCGGUCUGAGAGGAUGAACGGCCACAUUGGGACUGAGACACGGCCCAGACUCCUACGGGAGGCAGCAGUGGGGAAUCUUCCGCAAUGGACGAAAGUCUGACGGAGCAACGCCGCGUGAGUGAUGACGGCCUUCGGGUUGUAAAGCUCUGUUAAUCGGGACGAAAGGCCUUUUUGCGAAUAGUGAGAAGGAUUGACGGUACCGGAAUAGAAAGCC